rnacentral:tRNA from 1 species
GCCCGUGUGGUGGAAUGGUAGACACUACAGACUUAAAAUCUGUUGUUGGCAACGACGUGGGGGUUCGAGUCCCUCCACGGGCACCA